GGCUUCGUGGUCGAGUGGUAAGGACACUUGCCUCUCGCCCAGGAGUCUCGGGUUCGAUCCCCAGCCGAGCAG
rnacentral:tRNA from 1 species